AGGACGAACGCUGGCGGCCGUGCUUAACACAUGCAAGUCGAGCGCUGAAGCCUUUCGGGGUGGAUGAGCGGCGAACGGGUGAGUAACACGUGGGUGACCUGCCCUCUACUCUGGGAUAAGCUUGGGAAACUGGGUCUAAUACCGGAUAUGACUUCAUGCUUCAUGGUGUGGGGUGGAAAGCUCUGUUCCUUUUGGGGAUGGUGUGGUGGGGGAUGGGCCCGCGGCCUAUCAGCUUGUUGGUGGGGUGAUGGCCUACCAAGGCUUCGACGGGUA
rnacentral:rRNA from 1 species